rnacentral:rRNA from 1 species
UGAGUACGAGCUGCUACGGCAGCGAAGUGGGUGAUGUCAAGCUUCCAAGAAAAGCCCUAUACCCGUUAAGGCAUGAUGGCCUGUACCCGAAACCGACACAGGUGGGGUGGUAGAGAAUACCGAGGGGCGCGAGAUAACUCUCUCUAAGGAACUCGGCAAAAUGGCCCCGUAACUUCGGGAGAAGGGGUGCCACCGCAAGGUGGUCGCAGUGAAGAGGCCCAGGCGACUGUUUACCAAAAACACAGGUCUCCGCUAAGUCGCAAGACGAUGUAUGGGGGCUGACGCCUGCCCAGUGCCGGAAGGUUAAGGAAGCUGGUCAGCGUAAGCGAAGCUAGCGACUGAAGCCCCGGUGAACGGCGGCCGUAACAAUAACGGUCCUAAGGUAGCGAAAUUCCUUGUCGGGUAAGUUCCGACCCGCACGAAAGGCGUAACGAUCUGGGCGCUGUCUCGGAGAGAGGCUCGGCGAAAUAGAAUUGUCUGUGAAGAUGCGGACUACGUGCACCCGGACAGAAAGACCCUAUGAAGCUUUACUGUAGCUUGGUAUUGUGCUCGGGCUCGGAAUGCGCAGGAUAGGUGGGAGGCUAUGAACCAUUGCUUGUGGGUGAUGGUGAGCCACUGGUGAGAUACCACUCUUUCCGAGCUAGAGUUCUAACAGCCACCCGUUAUCCGGGGGCUGGACAGUAUCAGGUGGGCAGUUUGACUGGGGCGGUCGCCUCCUAAAAGGUAACGGAGGCGCGCAAAGGUUUGCUCAGGCUGGUUGGAAAUCAGCCGACGAGUGUAAAAGCAGAAGCAAGCUUGACUGUGAGACCUACAAGUCGAACAGGGAGGAAACUCGGCUUUAGUGAUCCGACGGUUCUGCGUGGAAGGGCCGUCGCUCAACGGAUAAAAGUUACUCUAAGGAUAACAGGCUGAUCUCCCCCAAGAGUUCACAUCGACGGGGAGGUUUGGCACCUCGAUGUCGGCUCAUCGCAACCUGGGGCUGAAGUCGGACCCAAGGGUUGGGCUGUUCGCCCAUUAAAGCGGUACGCGAGCUGGGUUCAGAACGUCGUGAGACAGUUCGGUCCAUAUCCGGUGCAUGCGCAGGAAUAUUGAGAGGAUUUCUCCCUAGUACGAGAGGACCGGGAGGAACGCACCUCUGGUGUACCAGUUAUCGUGCCAACGGUAAACGCUGGGUAGCCAUGUGCGGAGAGGAUAACCGCUGAAAGCAUCUAAGUGGGAAGCCCACCUCAAGAUGAGUAUUCCCAUGGGGUAACCCAGUAAGGUCACGGGAAGAACACCCGUUGAUAGGCUCUACGUGGAAGCGCAGUAAUGUGUGAAGCGGAGGAGUACUAAUAGACCGAGGGCUUGA